rnacentral:tRNA from 1 species
GCCGCGGUGAUGGAAUGGUAGACAUAGGGGACUUAAAAUCCCCGGGCCUCACGGCCUUGCGGGUUCAAUUCCCGCCCGCGGUACCA